rnacentral:rRNA from 1 species
UACGUAGGGUGCAAGCGUUGUCCGGAAUUAUUGGGCGUAGAGAGCUCGUAGGCGGUUUGUCGCGUCUGCCGUGAAAGUCCGGGGCUCAACUCCGGAUCUGCGGUGGGUACGGGCAGACUAGAGUGAUGUAGGGGAGACUGGAAUUCCUGGUGUAGCGGUGAAAUGCGCAGAUAUCAGGAGGAACACCGAUGGCGAAGGCAGGUCUCUGGGCAUUAACUGACGCUGAGGAGCGAAAGCAUGGGGAGCGAACAGG